rnacentral:lncRNA from 1 species
AACGGUGCUGCUAAGACAUGGUGGCUGUGGUGGACGGUGCUGCUGAGACAUGGUGGCUGUGGUGAACGGUGCCGAGACAUGGUGGCUGUGGUGGACGGUGCCGAGACAUGGUGGCUGUGGUGGACGGUGCCGAGACAUGGUGGCUGUGGUGGACGGUGCCGAGACAUGGUGGCUGUGGUGGACGGUGCCGAGACAUGGUGGCUGUGGUGAACGGUGCUGUCGAGACAUGGUGGCUGUGGUGGAUGGUGCUGCUGAGACAUGGUGGCUGUGGUGAACGGUGCUGAGACAUGGUGGCUGUGGUGGUUGGUGCCGAGACAUGGUGGCUGUGGUGGAUGGUGCCGAGACAUGGUGGCUGUGGUGAACGGUGCUGCUGAGACAUGGUGGCUAUGGUGAACGGUGCUGAGACAUGGUGGCUGUGGUGGACGGUGCUGCUGAGACAUGGUGGCUGUGGUGAACGGUGCUGAGACAUGGGGCUGUGGUGAAUGGUGCUGCCGAGACAUGGUGGCUGUGGUGAACGGUGCUGCUAAUGUGUCUGGAAUUGGUGGAUUCUUGGUCUCACUGACUUCAAGAUUGAAGCCGCAGACCCUCGCAAUGAGUGUUACAGUUCUUAAAGAUGGUGUGUCCGGAGUUUGUUCCUUCUGAUGUUCGGAUGUGUUUGGAGUUUCUUCCUUCUGGUGGGUUCGUGGUCUCGCUGGCUUCA